rnacentral:lncRNA from 1 species
AUGUCAUGUGUAAUAACCAGGAACAUCAAUGAAGCUCAUAUAAGGGUUGGGUUUCCAGGAAAGUAGCCACUGACCCAUGGCCCUGAGACACAUUUUGAACAAACUGGAUGCUGAUAUUGUCCGUCUCCAGGAGACCAGAGGGCCCAAUGAUAUACUAACAGUGAAUAUUCCUAGCUGUUGUUGCGAGCAGGGACUCCUGUUUCCAUAUCAGCAGUAGCUGUAAAGAUUGCACUGCUCCAGUGGCUGCUGAAGUCCUGAGUGGUCGGUCUGCCAUCCAGAACAGGGAUGUCCAUUGCUUCAGAAACACAAAUGAGUUCACCAAAGAGGAUCUUCCCACACUGGAUAGUGAAGGCCAGGCCCUCAUUGCACAGUACAUGGUAAGAGAAAGAAGACCUCUACCCUAAUUGAUAUGUCCUGCCCCAUGUGCAUUCUGGGAAGCCUAAGAAGCUGAGGCUUCUUAAAGUCAAGUUUCUAUGGGCAGAUCUGAGCAGAAGCCUGCGCUAGCCAUCAUGUGACCAUUCUCAGGGAUCUGAAUAUGGCCCAACAUCUCAGUCACUAUUAUGAGGCAGGCAACCUGGUAUUCUUUUAAGGAAACCAGGGCAGAAUUGAAUAAGUAGCUUGCUCAGUAACCUGGGUACCAGGCCCCACAUAGGCUAUUUACCAAUAGUUACCACUGUUCCUGCCAAAGCAGGAAAAGGCCUUCAACUACUGUUUGAUGCUCAGUGGUAAGAGGCAUCCCAACUACAACUCCUGGCUUGAUUGCAGGCUCAGGCAUAGGUUCCUGGUCAUAAACACCUUCCAGGCCCCCAUUCUGCUACCUGAAGUGAUGGGCUCUGAAUGCUGCCUGGUAGAAGCUAUCUUGAACAUGUUCUGAGUGCCAGCAAGAUAGUGCCCAGACCCGUAUACCCAUUUCUUCCUCGAGUUUCUUAAUUACUUCUUCUUGAACAAGAACUUGUGAUUGGCAGUUUGUUCUGCCAUCCAGCAAGCAAACCCAGGUCUAGAAGCAGCUAAACAAAACAUGUUUGGGUUUAACCAGCCCUGGGAAAAGUCAGGCUGUCUCCACAAGAAGCCAGAAAAACCUGAGGAGCAGCUUCUGGCCUUCUCCAAACUUCCGAUGUCAUAACUGCAGAUUCCAGAAGAGGAUGCAUUGGCCACAGUAGUAUAAGAACAGCUCAGACUUUCGGAGGCUAAAGGUAAGAAGGAGGUACAGACCAUGUUCAAGACUAUGCUAGGUAUGGUCUCACUCAUGCCCCUCUGAGAGGCCACAGAAAGCCAUGUGUAGCGCAUGCUGUGAAAACACUGGACCUACCCACCAAAAUUCUGAAUGUUUGUCUGGCUGUUGGCCUGGGAGCCCCUCCCAGGGAUGUCUCCUCCAGGUCUAGCUGCUUUUUCUGAAGCAGGCUCA